GCAUUAGCAGAUUUAGAAUGAGACCCAGCUGUGAUGAAGAGCUUCAGAAAUGAAACUACUGUGAAAUAUGAGUCUCCUCCUACUGACUGCAGAGCUGCUUCAUGGCAGAGAACUCUUUGAUUCCAGCUGUGAACAUCAGACCAAACACAACUGACAGAACGUGUUCAUACUGAACAUUCAGUUCCAGCAUUUCUCCUCUGUCAACAUGGAGAAACUCGCUGCACUUUUGUUCUUUUCAGCUCUCGUAGGUAACACCUUGGAAGAUGAUAUUACUGCCAGCAGAGCUGAAGUGUUCUCAUCAGAGGGCCGUAGUGUUACUCUGUCCUGUAGCUAUUCAGUUAAAGCCGAGAAUCUCCAGUGGUAUCGACAGGAUCCUGGAUCAGCUCCUCAGUUCCUUCUCCUGAUCACUGAUGCAAAAGAGCCUUCAGUGGUGGAAGCAAAACCUCCACACCCUCAACUGACCGCUAACCUGAAUGAGGAGAGGAAUCGAGUCGAUCUGCAGAUCUCCUCUGCUGCAGUGACAGACUCUGCUGUGUACUACUGUAUCCAGAGACUGGACGGACAGGAGCUGCCAUAUACAUCCCAGCAUACAAACUAG